rnacentral:tRNA from 1 species
GCGACCGUGGUGUAGUGGUUAGCAUUAACGCCUUCCAAGAUAUAGAGAGGGGUUCGAUUCCCUUCGGUCGCA